rnacentral:lncRNA from 1 species
GCCGGAAUAUAGGCCCCACCUGUUCAUUCGGCUCAUCUUGCCGAAGCGAAUUUACUAAGGAGGUUUUCGGACCCGACCGAUUUGAUCCCUCAUCGGUCGAAUCGCUUGACCCGUCGUGGGCGCAAACUUCGAGGGUCACUAUCAGCAGCCGAUUUCCACCCCGACACACUUCCCGAGGAGGGUCAAGGCAUCGGAAAAUUCGGCUAUCAACAUGUUCUUAAUAUUUAAAGCGCGAUAAACUA